rnacentral:rRNA from 1 species
AUUGAACGCUGGCGGCAUGCCUUACACAUGCAAGUCGAACGGUAACGGGCCUUCGGGUGCCGACGAGUGGCGAACGGGUGAGUAAUACAUCGGAACGUGCCCGAUCGUGGGGGAUAACGAGGCGAAAACUUUGCUAAUACCGCAUACGAUCUACGGAUGAAAGCAGGGGACCGCAAGGCCUUGCGCGGACGGAGCGGCCGAUGGCAGAUUAGGUAGUUGGUGGGAUAAAAGCUUACCAAGCCGACGAUCUGUAGCUGGUCUGAGAGGAUGAUCAGCCACACUGGGACUGAGACACGGCCCAGACUCCUACGGGAGGCAGCAGUGGGGAAUUUUGGACAAUGGGCGCAAGCCUGAUCCAGCCAUGCCGCGUGCAGGAUGAAGGCCUUCGGGUUGUAAACUGCUUUUGUACGGAACGAAAAGCCUUCUUUUAAUACAGGAGGGUCAUGACGGUACCGUAAGAAUAAGCACCGGCUAACUACGUG